UUCUGGGGGGAUCGACAGAUUGAGAGCUCUUUCUUGAUUCGGUGGAUGGUGGUUCAUGUCUGUUCUUAGUUGGUGGAGCGAUUUCUCUUGUUAAUUCCACUAACGAACGAGACUCUAGCCUAUUAAAUAGGUGCGUGGUUCUCUGCACCUUGCACCCUUCUUAGAAGGACUAAGGGGCUCCUAGCCGCACGAAACAGAGCAGUAACAGGUCUGUGAUGCCUUUAGAU
rnacentral:rRNA from 1 species